rnacentral:rRNA from 1 species
UAUCACGUGAGCAACCUGCCCUUGACUUCGGGAUAAGCCCGGGAAACUGGGUCUAAUACCGGAUAUGACCAUCGCCCGCAUGGGUGGUGGUGGAAAGCUUUAUGCGGUCUUGGAUGGGCUCGCGGCCUAUCAGCUAGACGGUGAGGUAGUGGCUCACCGUGGCUUUGACGGGUAGCCGGCCUGAGAGGGUGACCGGCCACACUGGGACUGAGACACGGCCCAGACUCCUACGGGAGGCAGCAGUGGGGAAUAUUGCACAAUGGGCGAAAGCCUGAUGCAGCGACGCCGCGUGCGGGAUGACGGCCUUCGGGUUGUAAACCGCUUUCAGCAGGGAAGAAGCUUUUUGUGACGGUACCUGCAGAAGAAGCGCCGGCUAACUACGUGCCAGCAGCCGCGGUAAUACGUAGGGCGCGAGCGUUAUCCGGAAUUAUUGGGCGUAAAGAGCUCGUAGGCGGUUUGCCGCGUCUGCCGUGAAAAAUCCGGGCUUAACCCGGAUCGUGCGGUGGGUACGGGCAGACUAGAGUGCAGUAGGGGAGACCGGAAUUCCUGGUGUAGCGGUGAAAUGCGCAGAUAUCAGGAGGAACACCGAUGGCGAAGGCAGGUCUCUGGGCUGUUACUGACGCUGAGGAGCGAAAGCAUGGGGAGCGAACAGGAUUAGAUACCCUGGUAGUCCAUGCCGUAAACGUUGGGCACUAGGUGUGGGGAACAUUCCACGUUUUCCGCGCCGUAGCUAACGCAUUAAGUGCCCCGCCUGGGGAGUACGGCCGCAAGGCUAAAACUCAAAGGAAUUGACGGGGGCCCGCACAAGCGGCGGAGCAUGCGGAUUAAUUCGAUGCAACGCGAAGAACCUUACCAAGGCUUGACAUGGACCGGAUCGCCAUAGAGAUAUGGUUUCCCUUCGGGGCUGGUUCACAGGUGGUGCAUGGUUGUCGUCAGCUC